rnacentral:rRNA from 1 species
GGCCCCCAUCCAGAAGGCGCAGGCGCGAAAAUUACCCCUUCCGCGCGGAGAGGUAGUGACUAGUCUAACAAAUAUAGACCCUAGUGGUUUGUAUUUGGACUGGUGAGAUGUUAUAAAUAUCUCAGUAAUCUAGAUCAGGGCAAGUCUGGUGCCAGCAGCCGCGGUAAUACCAGCCUGAUCAAGCGUAUGCUUUAGUUGCUGCGUUUAAAAAGCUCAUAGUUGGAUCUUCGAAAGCGUGAUCAUCAAAGGGCGUAGUUCGGUUACGGUCGUUCUAUUCCUGGUCACGGUCUUUCACUAUACUUGGAAGACAGUUUAUUUCUUAACUGAAUAGACUGAUCGAAAACAAGUGAUAAACCUUGAAAAAAAUUAGAGUGCCUCAAAGCAAGCUUUGGCCCUUGAAUUUUAAAGCAUGGAAUUGAGGAAGAGGACCAUUAUGGGUCGUGAACCAUUUUGGUAAUGAUUAAAAGGAACAGACGGGGGCAUACGUAUUGCUCGGGGAGGGGUGAAAUCCGUAGAUCCCAGCAAGACGACCUACUGCGAAAGCAUUUGCCAAGAAUGUUUUUCAUUAAUCAAGAACGAAAGUUAGGAGUAUU